AUUGAACGCUGGCGGCAGGCCUAACACAUGCAAGUCGAGCGGAUGAGUGGAGCUUGCUCCAUGAUUCAGCGGCGGACGGGUGAGUAAUGCCUAGGAAUCUGCCUGGUAGUGGGGGACAACGUUUCGAAAGGAACGCUAAUACCGCAUACGUCCUACGGGAGAAAGCAGGGGACCUUCGGGCCUUGCGCUAUCAGAUGAGCCUAGGUCGGAUUAGCUAGUUGGUGGGGUAAAGGCCUACCAAGGCGACGAUCCGUAACUGGUCUGAGAGGAUGAUCAGUCACACUGGAACUGAGACACGGUCCAGACUCCUACGGGAGGCAGCAGUGGGGAAUAUUGGACAAUGGGCGAAAGCCUGAUCCAGCCAUGCCGCGUGUGUGAAGAAGGUCUUCGGAUUGUAAAGCACUUUAAGUUGGGAGGAAGGGCAGUAAGUUAAUACCUUGCUGUUUUGACGUUACCAACAGAAUAAGCACCGGCUAACUUCGUGCCAGCCGCCGCCGUAAUAC
rnacentral:rRNA from 1 species